UACAGAGGUCCCAAGCGUUGUUCGGAUUCACUGGGCGUAAAGGGUGCGCAGGUGGGUUGGCAAGUUCGAUGUGAAAGCCCCGGGCUUAACCCGGGAAUGGCAUUGGAUACUGCUGAUCUGGAGGAUCGGAGGGGGGACUGGAAUUCUUGGUGUAGCAGUGAAAUGCGUAGAUAUCAAGAGGAACACCAGUGGCGAAGGCGAGUCCCUGGACGAUACCUGACACUGAGGCACGAAAGCCAAGGGAGCAAACAGG
rnacentral:rRNA from 1 species